rnacentral:rRNA from 1 species
AAUGUGCACGCCUGGCUCAAUUUUCCACUCUUUAACCACUGUGCACUUUUUGUAAGAUUGGCUGUAGGGGAAUUAUAUAUUUACUCUCUUGUAACACAUGAGACGAAAGUAUAUGUUGCCUGAAGGCCUCUCUUAUGUUUACUACAAACGCUUCAGUUAUUAGAAUGUCAUACUUGUGUUAUAACACAUUUAUAUACAACUUUCAGCAACGGAUCUCUUGGCUCUCGCAUCGAUGAAGAACGCAGCGAAAUGCGAUAAGUAAUGUGAAUUGCAGAAUUCAGUGAAUCAUCGAAUCUUUGAACGCACCUUGCGCUCCUUGGUAUUCCGAGGAGCAUGCCUGUUUGAGUGUCAUGGAAUUCUCAACUCAUUAGAUUUUUUUCAAUGCAGCUUGGACUUGGAGGUCUGUCGGUUUUUAAUAAUCGACUCCUCUUAAAUGCAUUAGCGUGAACUCUUACGGAUCGCCUUCAGUGUGAUAAUUAUCUACGCUGUGGUGUGAAGUAUCAUUAUGUUCAUGCUUAUAAUCGUCUGUUCAUCAGACAAUUUAUUAUGACAUCUGACC